rnacentral:lncRNA from 1 species
AGUCUGCCCGGCGGUGACGCGGGGAGGCGGGAGCGGGAGGCGGCGCUGCGUCACCCGGUCUUGGUCUCCUGGCGGCUAGCAAGAGUCCUGCAGAUAUUGGUUGCGUGAUAGCAUCUGUUCACAUCUGACCAAGGAAGAGUCUCCUCGGAGAUGCUAACUGGUCCAAGAGUGCAGGGCUCUGUGGUGUGACAGAGCUAAGCCUCACAGCGGAGUCAGCUUUCAAGAAGACAGGAGAGCCUUCUGCCCUCCCCCUCAGCUCUCCUGCUGUUGCAGACUGGGGUGGAGCUGGCCAAGUCUACCUUGCCUGUGCCUGGUACCAGAGGGCUAAGGUACAGGUCUGAUCCUGUCGGUGCCCUGUGUCCAUCUGCAGGGCAGGGACAACCAUGAAUCACUUGCUUCCUGGAAGCCCAGCCCAAUGGUAGGCUCCCUGACAGCCCUGGAGUGUUGGUUAGGCCCAGGCAGAAUCCUAGCCCCACCCUGGAGCAAGCUGGACCUGACCUAGCUCAGUUGUUAGUUGAAGCAAUGGCUGUCCCAGCUCUUUCCUUUCACGGCUAUCGGGAUGAGGCUUGGGGAAUGUGGACAUGAAACUUCUUCAGAAACCUCUUGCCAUUGCUGAUGAUGCUGCCUCUGUUACUGGU